rnacentral:rRNA from 1 species
UACGUAGGGACCAAGCGUUGUUCGGAUUUACUGGGCGUAAAGGGCGCGUAGGCGGCGUGUUAAGUCAGCUGUGAAAUCUCCAAGCUUAACUUGGAACGGUCAGCUGAUACUGAUGUGCUAGAGUGCAGAAGGGGCAAUCGGAAUUCUUGGUGUAGCGGUGAAAUGCGUAGAUAUCAAGAGGAACACCUGAGGUGAAGACGGGUUGCUGGGCUGACACUGACGCUGAGGCACGAAAGCGUGGGGAGCAAACAGG